rnacentral:rRNA from 1 species
UACGGAGGGUGCAAGCGUUAUCCGGAUUUACUGGGUUUAAAGGGCGCGUAGGCGGGUCUUUAAGUCAGCGGUGAAAACUCCGAGCUUAACUUGGAAACUGCCAUUGAUACUAUUGAUCUUGAAUUUAGUUGAGGUUGGCGGAAUGUGUCGUGUAGCGGUGAAAUGCUUAGAUAUGACACAGAACACCGAUUGCGAAGGCAGCUGGCUAAGCUAAAAUUGACGCUGAGGCACGAAAGUGUGGGGAUCAAACAGG